UAGCUAAGUGGAUCAAGGCAGUGGAUUGUGAAUCCACUAUGCGCGGGUUCAAUUUCCGU
rfam:Gossypium raimondii chromosome 11, whole genome shotgun sequence.